rnacentral:misc_RNA from 1 species
CCGAGCGAGGGCCCCCGGGCCCGACCUCCAACCCCAUGUCACCCGACCCUGUUGCCUCGGGGGCGACCUGCGCCGGCCGCUCGCGGCCGCCCGGGGCCCCCGGCGGACCCCCCAACGCUGCAUCUUUGCGUCCGAGUCUGAUUUGAAUCAAUCA